AGGUGAUUAGCUCAUUUGGUAGAGCAUAUAUUUUGAGGAAUAUAGGGUAAUGGGUUCGAUUCCCAUAUUACUAA
rnacentral:tRNA from 2 species